rnacentral:rRNA from 1 species
UACAGAGGUCUCAAGCGUUGUUCGGAUUCAUUGGGCGUAAAGGGUGCGUAGGUGGCGUGGUAAGUCGGGUGUGAAAUUUCGGAGCUUAACUCCGAAACUGCAUUCGAUACUGCUGUGCUUGAGGACUGGAGAGGAGACUGGAAUUUACGGUGUAGCAGUGAAAUGCGUAGAGAUCGUAAGAAAGACCAGUGGCGAAGGCGGGUCUCUGGACAGUUCCUGACACUGAGGCACGAAGGCCAGGGGAGCAAACGGG